CCACCCAAAAAAUAACUUUUCAGAGAAAAUUUGAUUCUUUUUAGUAAAGAGCAAGAUAAUUUUUCAGUAACCUUGUCCUCAACAUAAAAGGAAAAGGUUUUUUCAGUUACAUCCAACUCUUCUUGUAAAAUGAAGGAGAUGGAUUUUAUGGCCUCUAAAAGGUCUUUCCCACACUCUAUGUUGUGCCAUUUUGAUGGCACUUGGGAUUUUCUUGGCAAAGUACUGGAGGAGUUUGUCAUUACCUUCUCCAGCUCAUUUUACAAAUGAGGAAACUAUUAAGUGACUUGCCCAGCAUCACACAGCUAGUGAGAUCACAUUUGAACUCAGAUCUUCCCAAUUCCAUGUCCAAUACUCCAUCCACUACAUCACUUAGCUGCCCAUCAUAUAAGUUUAUUUAUAGGUUUAUCAAGCCCUGUACAAUAAAAAGAGAUGCCAUUACCCACCUAUAGGUAUGGUCAAAACAAUAAUUAGCAAAUCCCAUGCCAAACAGCUUCAAAGGGAACUUGCAGGCAAUAUGGUAGGAAAAGAAUUAUCUAUAUGUCUGAAGACAUUGGCAGUUAACUAAUUAAGAAACUAAAAUCUUAUUUUACAUUGCAACUAGAUGAAAUAACAUAUAAAGAUGUUUAAUUACAUAACUGAAAUAUUGCAGCUGAUGUUCUAUUGAUAACAAUGCCACACCAAAAUAAAUGUUCAAUAAUUAUAUUGUCAAUUAUGAUAGCUUUUUUUCAAACUACUUAGUUUGUCAAGUUUUAUGAGAAUAAUCAACUUUAUACAAAAUCUUGUUAAAGAAAACUCUUUACUAAAUAGUGUGACAUUGAAACAAAGCACAAAGAAUCUCUCUUGCUUGUAAUCAUGCUGUUUUUGUUGCACCAAAGUUUGAGCAAAAAUAAUUUGAUAUUUUUCUUAGUGUUAAUAAUAAAAAAGAUGAAAUAAAUUUAAGACAAAUUUCUUCCAUGUGUAUUUAGUGAGGUGAUUUUUUUUAAUUGACUACUCUAAGUCAAGGUAAAGACCUUAAAUUCAUCUUUUGAUCAUGAAAAAAGGAAAAGUUACAGCUUUGGAUAGCAAAACUACAAAAUAACAUUUUUAGAUAUAUUUUUUAACUUUUUUAUUAGCUGCCCUACAAAUAAAAAAGAAUAAAGCAAAAACUUAUUUAGUCACCCGAUCAAUCACAGAAGCAAUUCUUAUUUUAAACAUCAAAACAAUUAAAUAUGAAGGAGUAAAGAAUACAUUUGCUAUGGACAAGAUACACCAGACCUUAUUCCAUCAAAUAUGUAAUAAUCCCCCUUUUGUGGGGAGCAUUUUUCUUUUAUUUCAUUAUAAAGACAAUCUUGAAUUUAAUUAAACAUUGAAAAAACACCAGAUUUUGAGGAAACUUGGUGCUGAAAAACCAACCCAACCAACACAUUAAAACAUUAUCAUUAUCCUUACUAUUUGUAUCAUUUAUGUUCAUGAAAAUUAUAAUUUGUCACGUGUUAUUUUAACAAUAUUGACAAUAUAUUAACAAUAUUUAAUGUUUGGUAUUUAUGUUGUUAUAAUUGUAAUUAUCUUUUUAACAACAUGCUAGGCAAUAAAAGAAUCAUACAGAUUGUUUCAUGAAAAAUUGGAGGAGUGUGAUUUUUUAAAAGGGAGGUAUCAUCUUAGGAAGAAAACAAGUAUUUGUUAAGUGUGUUAUAUGCCAGAUACUAUGCCUUAAAAAUGCUCCCUUCUUUGUUCAGAUCAUCACUUUGUUCUUUAUGAUUCUCUCUCCUCCAUGAUUUUCUAAAGAGAAUCUUCUCUAUCCACUGAAGGAUUUCUGAAGAGGAGCAAAUGGAGCCUGAAGGCAAUGCACCUAUUCUCACAUCUUCUAUGAUCAUCUUUUUUUAAAUUAAAUGCCUGUAAUGAUGCUUUGUAUACCUCUCCUGUGAUAUUUUUGUACAUCUGUAUAUUUUUGAUUUGUACAUAAUACAACUUGAUUAAAAAAAAAAAAAAAAGAGUGGGUAUAAAAGGCUCCCAGUAGGGUAACCUGUUCAUCUUAUAUUUAAUCUUUAGAUUUUGAAAACAUCUCUGCUUUAUUACUGUAGUCAAGGACUCUUAGCCUGGACUAUGAAUUUGUAAAAAAUACUUUGAUAACUGUAUUUCAAUAUAAUUGGUUUCCUUUGUAAUUCAAUGUCUUUUAGGCAUUUAAAAAGAAGACUCUGAGAAGGGGGCAGCCUGCCAGAGAGGUCCAUGAUGCAAAACAGCUUAUUUUUCAGAUAAUUGGAAACUGAGGUACACAGGGUCAUGCAGAUUAAAAGCCACGUUUGAACUCUGGAAAAUGAGUCUUCUGGCACUAUCCAUUUAGCUGCCCAGUUCCUUGUAAUGCUGUGGGUGCAUUAGAGAAAUACAAAACAAAAUUCUGUUUGUUUAAGGUUGUUGGCUACAGAAAUCAGCAGAGAGUUAUGAUUAUCAAAUGAGAGAAGAUAUAUGAAACCACCUUGAAAAUAUUAAAAGGAUAAUACAAACAUCAGUAUUUAAGGGUUUGAGAUUCUCCCAUUCAUCUCCGGAUGCUGGACCCUGGAUUCUUUGAGAUGACAAUCUCCUCCACCCCUGGGACCAACAUGAAUCCCUUGGUCCCGGUAUAUCUCUCCAUCCUAAUCUCUGUCUGAUUGGAUAAUUUGAGAAGAGAGUUCUGUCCAGUCAAUUAUGCUCUCCAAUUAAUAAAAGAUUAAAA